GGCGCGCCUGCGCACUCCUGAAUGUGCCUCAGGGACGCGCGCGCGCUGCAGUCCCGGCAGUUUAGUGGUGAGAAGAUAGUAUUUCGCGGUGCCCUUUGUCGACCCUUCUCUGCGGGGCGGGGAAGGUCUGGGCCGCCGAGAGGCGUGUUCGAGCUACCACAACUCCUUGCUCUGAGAGGGUGGGACUGGGAGGUGUGCUGCCCGGUGAUGUUGGUGAGGGGAGAGAGGGACUGCUGCAACUCUGGGGAAAACAAGUCGGCUCUUCCGUGGAGCUCGGGAGACAUUUAUUACAAGACUGUUUCUCAUGGAAUAAGAACAUGUAGUUUCAUGGUGCAAGGCUGCCUGAUGUUUCCCAGGUUUGAGUGGCCCUGGUAGAAAAAGGAAAAUUCGACAAGGUCAGGAGAGAGAAGAACAUAUUUAUCCUAAAAUAAGAAUGAUGACCGUGUCCCACGUGUACAGAAGGGGAAGAAGAGCUGAGACAUGAAGCAACAAUAAAUGGAGUUUUCUAAGCCUGCUGUAACAUAAUGAAAACCAAAUAGUUCUGGAUGAAAAUGAGAGAAGUUAUCCGUGUAGUGAAAACUGUUUACAUUGGUGAGUUUUUUCCCAACCUUUUUUUUUUUUUCUGACUGUUGCCUUUAAUAAGAAAAUCAUCAUGACUGAGAACAUACACAUAUUUGAGAUAUAUAUAUAUGAAUAGAUAUAACUGAAAAAAGGUCUUUGUGAAGCAACAUGUGUGUUUAUUAUUUGAAAUGAAUUUGAAUCUCUUCCAGUCUGCGUUUUUUCAUUAAUUUUUUCUCUAGACCACUAAUGUGUUGCCAGCUGCAGUAUGAAUAACACUUUUUGGUGAUAUGUUCUUCCCAAGGAAGUGGUUUAUAGAUUUCACUGCCUGCAUGUUAUUGCUUGUACUCAUGGAGAUGUUUUUGCAUGGCAGAAAUAAAGUGGAAGAUUGAUCUUCGCCUCCCCAGGAGGAAUGAAAGGCUGUGAAAGGGAGAUGAUCCCAGCUAAUCACCUUGGCUCAAUGUAGCUUGGACUGUGGGUGCUGUACAUGCCUGUUACUCAAUUUUAUGUUGGUCAGGUUAGGACAAAUGUGUUCCAGUGUCUUCUUGGAAGAUCCUGAAACUGAAACCAGGUUGGGUUACAUCUUUAAGGGAAAAAGAAGUAUCUCUGGGACACUCCAGGGAGAAGAGACAGCUCAAGGAUGUUUUUGUUGGUGGAGGAGAAAGGAGGUGGGAAAGGGAGAGUGAAGUUAACUCUUUCAAACAGUGGUGAGGCCAGGGCUGUUGGCACAGAUGCUCUUCAGAGACUAGUUGUCAGCUUUGUUACACGUCGUUGUAAUGGAUGCUGUUGGUGCCCACCCACAUCCCUUUUAAGGACCCCAGUGCCAUCCCUCAGCAGCUAUGAGUGUUGCCUGUCCAUCCCUGCCUCUUUCUCUGGAGAUUUGCCCUUGGCAGAAUGGGAGUCUCUUCAUUUGGGAGGUUUCAUUGCCUCACUCCCCAAGUGGCUAUGGCCAGUGAUAGAUUGACAUGGGAUCCAAAAGACUGGCCCUUUUGCCUUCAAGGUGGUACUGUCCUCUGGUACAAUUUGUACUCCAGAAUUCCCUCCCUGUGGGAUCAGGUUGAAGCUGAAUUCCCAAUGAAAGCCUAUGAUUACUUCACUCCUUCCCCUGCCCCAUCCUGCUUCCAUCAUUCCUCUUCUCUCGCCCAUAAGAAAUCACAUGCCUAAGAAUUCUCAUCUCAGGUUCCAGUUCUAGGGAAUCUAACCUAAGACAGUUACUUCUGUGUUGUAACUUCCUCAUCUAGUAAUUUUAUCAUUACUUAAUAUUAUGUUCUUAUUACUACAAGCUGAAGCCUUGUAUUUCAUUUCAGAAAUUAGGGAAGCUGACCCAGGCCAUGCUUUGGGUGAAGCAAUACAAAGGGGUGAUGCAGGAAUGCAAGGGAAGUGAAUCCUGGGUGUGGACAGUGACCAGCAGCAGGGUCAUGAGUGGCCCCAUGGGUGGAGGAGAGGAGUGCUUCCAAUCAGGAGGGGACUGACUCAGCUGGAAACAACCAAGGCAAUUCCUAGAAAAUGUAAACUUUCCCUUUUAUUUGUGGAGAGGAGUCAAGCAAAGCCUGGACCCACUGACAAAUCUGAUGGGACUUAACACUGUUGGAAUUUAGGGACCAGGAAUGAAUUGAUCUCAUCUUGUCUGUAUAGGCUCUUGGCAUAGUCUCAUUUCCAAGUGCUACUGUAGCAAAUGACCACAAACUUAGUGACUUAAAACAAAUUUAUUAUAAUUGUGGAGGUCAGAAGUCUGAAAUGGGUUUGCAGGACUGCAUACCUUCUGAAUGUUCUAGCAGAUAAUCUGUUUCCUUGCCUUUUCUGACUUCUAGAGGCCACCUGCAAUUCCUUGGCUCAUGGCCUUCCUCUUUCUUCAAAGCCAGCAGUGUAGCAUCCUCACAUCUCUGUCUGUCUGUCUGUCUCUCUGUUCCUCAGCUUCUGCUAUCAAAUCACCUAACUCCUCUUGCGUCCCUUUUAUAAGUACUCUUGUGAAAACAUUGGGCAUACCCAGAUCAUCCAGGAUAAUCUCUCCAUCUCAAGAUCCUUAAUUUUUUUUUUUCUUUUUGGCUGCAUGCACGGCAUGUGGACGUUCUGGGGCUAGGGAUCGAACCCACACCACAGCAGUAACCAAAGCCACAGCAGUGGCAAUGCCAGAUGUUUAACCCACUGAGCUACCAGGAAACUCCUCAAGAUCCUUAAUUUAAUAACAUCUAAAAAAAAAAAAAACCAAAAAACUCUUUUGUUACGCAAGGUAACACAUACACAAGUUCUUUUUCUUUUAUGGAGGUUCCCAGGCCAGGGGUCGAAUUGGAGCUGAAGCUGCCAGCCUAUGCUACAGCCACAGCAACAUGGCAUCUGAGUUGCGUCUGCAACCUAUGCCAUAGCUCACAGCGACACUGUGUCCUUAAUUCACUCAGCGAGGCCAGGAAUCGAACCACAUCCUCAUGGAUACUAGUCGGCUUUGUAACCCACUGAGCCACAAUGGGAACUCCUAUACACAGGUUCUUGAUAUUAGGUCAUGGACAUUUUUGGGGAAGGACACUGUUCAGCAUACCACAGUUAGGGAGGCCUGGACACAAAAAUUCUAUUUGCUUCAUGUUCAAUACCUAGAAUCAAUUUUGAUGACUUUAUGUCUGCCCUUACCCCUCACUCUUUUAGCACAAGAGUUAGUCUCUGUCAGGGCUUGGAGCUGGACCAGGGUAGAGCCCUGCCUCCAUUACUAGGGCCACAGGUCUGUGUCAUACAGGCUCCAGAGUACAGGGGCCAUGUGGUUUGGCUGUGCCUAGCCCUGGACAAGGCUUUCUCCUGAGAUGAUUGGACAAGGGCAUAAUGAGUGGCGUCUCCACUAAGUCUAUCUAGCACCACUCUUUGACUAGAUCUUUUGGGAAUUUACUAAAGCCAAAAAGGAAAGGAUGAACUGACCAUCUUUAUGGCACGUUGGCCAUUAAGAGUGUCUGUGUUUAGCGGACUGAAAGUUUAUAUCCACUAGGGAGGUGAGGGGAUUUAGAGAAUCACCACCAGUCCCACUCUAGCCUCACUUUUAGUCUCUUGCUUCCCUGGUUUGUCAUGUAUUAUACUUCUUUACAAUUUUUCCAACAUCAAAAUCAGGAGCAGAGCUCCGGACACAGUCUGUAGUCAAUGCAAAUGAAUCCCAGAACUACUUUUUAGUAAGAUGCGAGGGUAAAGCGUCAUAUGCGUAUUUCUCCAUUGAAUAAAAAUUCCUUUGUGGGCAGCAGCUUGUGAUUAAGGUUAGCCAAUGGAGGAAUGGUGUCAGUGAGUCCUGUCAUUUGAUAUCCGUAAUUUUUCCUUUGCAUUCCUCAAAUUGCUAUUAAAGGUCAUGGAGAGUGAAGUUGGCGAGGCAUUAUUUUUCCCAAUAAAAUGUAUCCGACUGAAAAUUUUCCCAUUUUCUGUCUUCACUUUGCUGUCAUGAUAUGAAAGAAGUAAUUCGACCCCUCAGCAAAGGACGCAUGGUGUCUUCUGUCCCUCAUACCUUGAGUUCAUGCAUUUGAGUCUUCUCUUUUGUUAAUCUCCCUGAUCUUCUCGCCCUCUCCCUCAAUCUUGUUCAGAUUUUUCAUCCACUGUAUUACUUAUAUCCUUCAUUCUAGUGCUUCUUACCUGAACAGGAGACUGUUCAACAAGUGGAUAGUUUGGUAAGAACUAAAGCUGGAAAGCUAGGCUACUCUCCUUUUAAGAUAGUUGCAGGAUCUUAAAAAAUAUUUUGAGUUGCUUGCCAUCUAACUUCUAAAAUCCACCAGCUAUUUUCCCAGAAUAUUGCUUUGAGUCAUAUGAUCUUUAUGACAAUUCAUUAUUCCUAAUAUAAUGCAGAAAAAGAGAUCUUGAUUAAAGGUCAAAAUCACACACGCUACCUAGUCGCUUUUCACAAUUUGAGAUGUGAAACUAUGAACUUGAUGAAUUCUAGCUAUCAUUGGCAUGCUUCAGAAAACCAAGUGGCUGCUUCAUGGAUGUUUUCUUCCGUCUUUAAUAUUUCUUGCUAGCUGACUGGGACAGUUUUGUACAAGGCAAGAUUAUCCUUUCUUAAUAUGUUUCCUUCAAUCCCCAAGAAUAUAAAUGAGUUGCUGAUUAGGGCUCUGAAGCAUAUAGGAUUCCAUAUCACUCUAAUGCAUUUCUGAAAUUUGAGCUAUUUAUUUUGUCAGCUCACUGUUUUCCCAGUGCCAGGAAGAAAUCUAGCAAGACUGGAAACCCUGUGAUAGUCUUCCCUUGGAUAUUGUUGUGGAGAGGACAGAAUAGAACCAAACCAACUUGCCUUCACCAAUAAUAAUAAUAAUAAUAAUAAUAAUAAUAAAGAAAUAAGAUUUUUUUUAAGCUCUACAAACUCUAUAAUGUGCUGUUAGGGGAAAUAAGCAAAAUCAUUUCAGAACUUGCCUAAAGUAUAUGACAGGCAUUUUAAGAUUUUUAUUUUUUCUAUUAUAGUUGAUUUACAAUGUAUGACAGGCAUUUUAAAAAGCAUUAGGCAGAGGAUUUUACAGGUACAUUUGAAUUGACUGAACUUUUAUUCAGGACAGUUAAUAAGUAUGAGACAAAUAAAAAAAUCCUUUCACCACUGAAGCCCAUUGUCCUAACAGAAACAUUUUAGUUGACAACCCACAAAUAAGAAUGCAACGUUAAAAGUUUCUUUAAAAAUAACAGAGAUAAGUGUAUUAUUCAAUAGCUUUUUAAACAUUUUAAACAUUUUAUUAUGAAAAUUUCAAUCAUACACAGUGAGAACAAUAUACUAAAUUCCCAAAUUCCAUCACCCAGUGUCAACAAUUAUCAUUUUACCAAUAUUUCAUCUUUUUUCAAAAAUAAGAACUACUCGAGUCAUAUCUUAAAAAUUCCUAUUCAUUUCCUUGCCUAGUCAUUUCUAUUCCUUAUGGACCUUAAGGCAUCUCAUCUUACUUUCAGUAGAUUUUCUGUCUCCUACUUCCCUGAGAAGGUAGGCUGUUCCCUUUGAGAUCUGCCAUUUCCCCUUUUCUCCACUUCAGAAUGUCUUAGAAUUCUGUUCCAUUUCCCCCAUCUUCUCCUCCAGUUUUCUCAGAAAAAUAGCAUUUCUCCAUGUGAAAUUAAACUGCUGAGUAUUUAAUCAUAUCUGUCUCCUCCAGAAUCUUGUCCUAUUAAUUUUUCUCCCCUACUUUCUACCUUUAGUCUCUUCCUCUUGUCUGCAAUACCUUUGCCAGUAAACAUGCUCACAUUUUUCUCCAAACUCAAAAGGCACAACAACUGGGAACAUCUUUUGAACUUUCUACCCAGACUGACUCUGAGUCAAACCUUCCCUUUUGUGGUUAUUCUUUUUUCCACCUAGAGUCUGCUUGAAAUCUGGGAAAAUCCUUGAUUUCUUCUUGUUCUUCCUCCAGCCAGAUUUCAAGAAUCCAUAUUUCUUCAUUGACUUUUCAUCUGCCUCAGAGUAAGAAGCUGUAUUUUCCAAAGAUGGCCCCGAAAAUGUCUCCCAUCCCAUAUGCUCUUCUUAAGUGUGACCUUGACACUCCUGCUAUUGGGUGGUAUGGUCUAUGUCCCUUCCCCUUGAUCUUGGUGAAAUUGUGAUCACCGUGACCAUUAAAACAUGGCAAAAGUGACACUAUGUGACUUCCGGGAUAGGUUGUAAACAUGCCUUGCACUUUCCUCUUGCUCUCUUAGAGCCCAGCCAUCAUGCUGUUAGGAAGCUCCAACUUGCCCACCUGGAGAGACCAAAUGGAGAGGUCAUGUAUAAGAGUCUAGCCAAUAGCUGGCCUCAUCCACCAGACACGUGAAUGAGGAAGCCUUCAAGAUGACUAUAGCCACCAGCCACUGGGUCACUUCAAAACUUUCCAGCUGAGGUCCCAGACAUUGUAGAGCAGAGACAAGCUAUCCGCAUAAUGCACUGUUCAAAUCCUGACCUAUAGAAUCUGUGAACAUAAUACACUUGCAUAAUGUGCAAGUUUUUGGUUGAUUUCACCCAGCCAUAGCCGGGGAAUACCCAGCCUCUCCUUCCUCACGGUGUUAGCUCUAGUUCACACACACACAGCCUCUUGGCCAGAUUUCUGGACUAGGCUUUGUCUUUAGGGAUCUCACUGUUGAAUUCAGUGCUGCCUCUAUGUCUUACCUGAACAGAGUGCUCUCCUAUUUUUGAAAUACUUUUAUGUCACAUUUUUCAUUUGCCUCCAAACCCUGGGGAAUGGGUGUGGCCAACGACAAGAACCAUUUCACAGGUAAGGAAAUGAGAUUUAAGUAAAGAGAGGUUUAAAUGACCCUUAAAGUAGCUUGUAGGACUGGAACUAGAAGUGUAAGAAACUGUAAGAGGGGACUUACUCUAGAAUGUAGAGUUUCUCAGACACAUUUUCCCAUAGAAUCCUUUCACCUACAAGCAUUUGAAGGACACCAGUUUUCCAAGGAACACAGUUUGGGAAAUACCCUUCUAGUCCAAUUUCUUCUUUUUAUAGAUCAAGCUCGAGAGAUUUCAUUUCCAAGAGAUAAUUAAUGAAAAGUUACAAAAGGGACAAACUGGAGUGUAGAAUUUUUCUGCCAAGUCUUUAUAGCUUGCUGUAUGUGGUGAGGUUUUUUCUUUUCUUUCUUUUUUUUUUUUUUUUUGUAUGCUUGUACCUUUAUAGUGUUUCUGUCAGCCUGGAUCUUGGUGUCUCAGAUGAGGGAGGAAAAGAUGUAUUUGGAAGUGUCAGUGCCUUUUAGCCAAAGGCCACUGGAAGCACACUUGAUUAAGUAAGUUGGGUUUACUACUCACUACAGGGAAGCAUGGGGUCCCUCAGUAAAAGGGUGUUAAGACAUCUUAUAGGAUUUAGGAUCCAGAGGGGUGAGUUAUGGAGAGUCUAAGGAAGCAGGAGAUUGGUCUAAAUGGGAUGCUGUCAGAAAGUGAGGACAGUAUUAUUUUGUAGGUGACACAGUGACCUUGUUUUUGCUUGUGCUUAAAAUUAUGAAGUGGGAGUUCCCGUCGUGAUGCAGCAGUUAAUGAAAUCCGACUAGGAACCAUGGAGUUGCAGGGUUCGAUCCCUGAUCUAGCUCAGUGGGUUAAGGAUCCAGUGUUG